rnacentral:rRNA from 1 species
CGAACGCUUGCGGGAUGCCUCAAACAUGCAAGUCGCACGAGAAAGUACCUUCGGGUGCGAGUACAGUGGCGCACGGGUGCGUAACACGUAGCUAACGUGCCCCCUCGCUGGGGAUAACUCCGGGAAACCGGAGCUAAUACCGAAUGAUCUGGCAGAGUCUGCGGACUUUGUCGGUAAAGCCUUAGGGCGCGAGGGGAUCGGGCUGCGGCUCAUUAGCUUGAUGGUGGGGUAACGGCCUACCAUGGCUACGAUGAGUAGCUGGUCUGAGAGGAUGAUCAGCCACACUGGAACUGAAACACGGUCCAGACUCCCACGGGAGGCAGCAGUUGGGAAUAUUGGACAAUGGGCGAAAGCCUGAUCCAGCAAUCCCGCGUGAGUGAUGAAGGCCCUCGGGUCGUAAAGCUCUUUCAGCAGGGAAGAAGCUUCGGCGGACGGUACCUGCAGAAGAAGCACCGGCUAACUACGUGCCAGCAGCCGCGGUAAU